rnacentral:rRNA from 1 species
UACGAAGGGGGCUAGCGUUGCUCGGAAUCACUGGGCGUAAAGGGUGCGUAGGCGGGUCUUUUAAGUCAGGGGUGAAAUCCUGGAGCUCAACUCCAGAACUGCCUUUGAUACUGAGGAUCUUGAGUUCGGGAGAGGUGAGUGGAACUGCGAGUGUAGAGGUGAAAUUCGUAGAUAUUCGCAAGAACACCAGUGGCGAAGGCGGCUCACUGGCCCGAUACUGACGCUGAGGUGCGAAAGCGUGGGGAGCGA